rnacentral:rRNA from 1 species
ACAAGUACCGUGAGGGAAAGAUGAAAAGGACUUUGAAAAGAGAGUUAAAGAGUACGUGAAACCGUUGAAAGGGAAGCGAAUGGAGUUAGCAAUUCGCCUCGCCAGAUUCAGUUUCCAGCGUGGCGCGACCGGCGUCCUCUCGAUCUUUGUGGACGGGUGUCGUCGGUCGGUGUUACGCGGGGCGCGCACUUCUGGCGGGCGAGCGUCAACUUCGGUCUCGCACGGCGAGCGACAAGGCCGCCGGGAAGGUGGACCGUGCCUCCGGGCGCGGUUGUUAUUAGCCCGGCGCGCGUACGGCUCGCGCGGGACCGUGGCGGUAGGCGGCGACGCGUGCCCGUCAAGGGCUGGAGUCCCGUACUGUUUGUUCGGCUGUCGACCGCGGCGGACGGCACGCCUGUGCGCUCGAACCGCGGCCGGUCACCAGUGCGGUGCACCCACACACACGACGCGUCGAAGAAGUUGACGGCCAUACGGCUCUAUCCGACCCGUCUUGAAACACGGACCAAGGAGUCUAACAUGUGCGCGAGCCUCUGGGCGAUCGAAACCCGAGGGCGAAAUGAAAGUAAAGGCGGCCCCGGCCGCUGAGGUGAGAAGCGCCGGCGUCGCGGCGCCGGCGCCGCAUCAUCGACCGACCUGUUCUACCCUUAGAAAGGUUUGAGUAAGAGCGCGCCUGUUGGGACCCGAAAGAUGGUGAACUAUGCCUGAAUAGGGUGAAGCCAGCGGAAACACUG